GGGGCAGCCUUUGAGGGGGCCGGCGCCGGGGUGGCCCUUGGCGGAGCCGCCCCGGGAAGGGCUCGCUGGGACUGGCCUCCCUGCCAAGUGCGAGGGACACGUUCCCUGAUGAAAGUAGAACACUUCGAAAUGUUUGGGCCGAGCUGCACUGCCUCUCGGGGCGCUUCUCCCAAGCCGAAGCCCUGUCAGGGAUGCUCCCCCAGCUGCCGCCCGCGGAGCUUGGAAGCUGCGAGCAGGCUGUUUCCAUUUCCAUUAAAAAGCCGCCCCGCUACACCCAGGCUUGACAAGCUGCUGUAUGAUCCUUCAUUCUGGCGAUCUGGAGGAUUGCUGCGUGUUAGGGCAGCCUCAGGCUCUUCAAGAAUCCCAGGAUCAGUUAGGUUGGAAAAGACCUCUGGGAUCAUGGAGUCCAACCUGUGACCGAGCACCAUCUGGAGAAGGGGCAGCAGGGGGACGGGGUCGCAGCUAUUGCCCGUUUACUUAGUUCUGACACACAGUUAGUGCUUCCCGGGGCAGCUUUGGAGAAGGAACUCAGUUAUCCCAGCUGCUUCUUCAGAAAAAUCCCAAAGCAGCAAGGCAUAGUUUUUCUCUGGCUCAUGCUCCUCAGUCAUGUGUUGCUAAAUACCAAGUAAAUGAGCCUGAUUCUGCCUUUGGCAGCACCAAAAAAAUCCAGAGUCAUGCCAGUUGGGUAGGGAGCAUCAUUGCACACUCACUCCAGUGUCAUUAAGAACACAGUUUGUUUCCAUUAUUUAUUUCUCUAAAUGUACAUACAUUCCUCUAUUAACACUGUAUAUAUACGCUGACACUGAAUAUACUUCAUUGUAGAAGUAUUCACUGCCUCUCAUUUCUUCUGCUUUUGACUCUUGUUAGCUGCACUUAUCCACACAGUAACUGAAAGUAAUCAACUAUGCUGCAUUAUCUAUCCUUUGAUCAGUGUUUUUACCUUAGUUUGGUAAACAGUUUGAAAAUCCCCCAGCAAGCCUGCUAUUUCUAGGACGGGUUUCAACUUGUAUGAGCCACUGUAUAAAGAACAUGCUGAAAAUGCAGCUGCGUUCUGGGAUGGGCUCAUCACAGUGAAGUGGAAGGGGAAGUUUUGAAGAAAACGAAGUAGCGCAUGUAAGGCCCCUAGAAUUUAACAAUCUUUAAAGCUAUGACAAACAAUUGCAGUUACCUUGUUUGACCUACAUUCCCUCAUCAAUUCUUGACUGAAUUAGAACAGGACUUCCUGAACUAUUUUAUGUUAUGAGGUUCUACCAGCUUUUUCCACUGGUGGUUCAUUGCAUCCUAUUUGUCAGCAGAAUUUAAGGAUUCAUUUAGCCUCAGUCUGCUUUGUAGUUUCCUUGACUUGCUUGGAAACCUUGAAGCCCAUAAGAAAUUUUGAGAGUUCUCAGAUGCUGUCAGUUCAGACAAUUUGUAAAUUCUUACAAAUCCUAUGAUUUUUAUAUCACAAAUUUCAGAACAACAACAGACAGGACCUCUGGUUUGGGUUUUUUUUUCUACUACAAAUAUUUUGAACUAGACCAUCAGCCUGGCUGAUGAUCAGGGUAGUCUGUGCUGGGGGGAAUUAAGGGAGGAGAAAACCACACUAGGCUUCGAAGCAGAAGGUCUGAGAAAAUCCAAGUAAGUUAAAAUGCCAUUGAAAUUCUCUUAUAACUAGUUAGACUUCUUAGUAGUGUACUUUGAGUACACUGGUAAGUAGUGACUUCUUUUAGUGUACUUUGCUGCAAUUUGAUAUUUCACCUUCACACCUUACUCUAAUUGAAACUGAUGUAAGAGGGUGGCUUUUUUUUAAAUUACAGUACUGGAAGAGGACCAGUAUUGUAGUACUGGUAAUAGAUACCGGAACAAAUAUGGCAUUUAAUAGGUCCCCAAUUUAAAGUUAAAUUCAGAGAGUUUUGACCUAAAGCUCAACAAAAACUCCACAGGGAUUCCCUAUACAAACACACAAAAUGCACCCUUCAUUGAGAGUCCAGGCAGAAAGGAGCGACAGCACAGGAAAUUGUUCUUGGAGAACCCUUCUACUUGUCAGUCAUAGGCUGCUGCAAACCAGGAAGGUUAACACACCAUCUAAUUAUUUGAUGGGAUUCAUAUUCCUUCACAAAUGUGAUGAAUAAUGCAAGUGUGUUGAAUCAAGCCAGAGGAAAAUUGUUCCUUCUCCAGCCUAUUAUUAACUCCUUGUGGUAUAAUGUACUUGUAAUCCUAGAAUGGUUUGGGUUCAAAGGGACCUUAAAGAUCAUCUAGGUCCAACUCCCCCCCCCCCCCCACGGGCAGGGGUGCCACCCAAAAUGAGUUUGUUCUGUGACAUUUUAAUCUGUGGGUGGAUGAUAUUUGUAUGUGAGCAAUUUUAACUGUUACACGUGCUUCUCUUUACAUUUGACUUGAAAUGAGAGAACAGAAAAGUACUCUUUCCACCUGUUUUUGCCCCCUGCUUAAUGCAGGUAUGUUCCCUACAAUGGGUAUUUCUCUAUACUCUAGCUUUGAAAGGCUAUAGUGAUGGGGCUUAAUCUGAAGAGAGGAGCAUAUUACUGGGAUGUGUUUCCUGAUAUUCUGACUUUAUUUCCCAUUGUUUUUUUCCCGUUUUCCUAUCACACGUCCAUAUGUGUCCUUGAGACUAUUCAAAACACUUUCCUGUUGCUAAGCCUAGAAUAUUAGUGCAUAUCUUUAUGUGUACUGCUUUUAUUUUUACUAAAUCAGACUGCAUUUUACUUGUGAUUUAUCUUCAGUCCUCUACAGAGCCCCAAUUUAGAAAAAGGGUAUUUUGAGCACUGUCCUUUUUUUUUUCCUUUUUUUUUUUUUUUUUUAAUAAAAUGAGUGUUCAAGCUCAGAACUCCACAGAAAUUUAAACAACUUAUGCACAGCCCUUUGAAAGCGCCCACCGCUCCCAGAUUUUCUGCUGCAGCCAAAGGAGAGUCCAGCUUUCCAACUCCAAUUUCCCAGGGGUUCGGAGGGGUGCUGCUUCCCAGGGCAGCGAGCGGGAUGGGGGCCGCGUGCCCUCUGCUGGGAGAGCUUUGUAACGUCAGGCGUUCCUCUGGAAGCGCCGUUGCCGCAUUCCAAGAUGUCCUGCGCGGUUGAUUACCAAAGUGCUUGAGUUGGCAUUCCAAAAGAAGUUUCUUUCGGUUGCUCCUGGGAAAACUCAUGUUGCAAUUUCAGAGCGUUGAAGAAUCUGGUUCUGCUAAGGAAGCCUCUGGCUUGUCUUCUGGGGAGUGUUCAGGAAUCAUUUUGAUGAAUUCCAGUUAAGAGUCUUUUUGACACCAGGGGAUGCAAAGGUCAAAGGAUGCCCUGAGCAGCACAUAACGGACUACAUGGAGCACAGAUAAAGAUGGCAAAGCAGCCUCAUAAGGAGUCUGUGUGACCUGCCCAAGAUCAAUCAGAAAAUUAAUGGCAGAACUGGAAAACCAAUACCUCCAUCUGUAAUGGGAACUGGUGGUGAAGAUGACGAUGUUGUUUUGGCACCUACAAUGAAGAGCAAAAGAAGCUUGGGUAUAGACCUCAGAACCUUGGAGAGAGUGGCACCUCUGACAUGCUGUAUGAACCAGUUGUUAUAUGGAGUGUGAACAGAAACCUGUUAUCCCCCUUUUGAAGAGGACACAUGAAUAUUUGACCAGCCUUAUAUUCCUUUGUGCAGAAUGGCCAGGCACUUAAAAUUUUGUAGUCACCAUGGUUCACCAUAUCACCAGCAGGGGGAAGCAGUCUCUGCGUGGUCCUCUGCCGAUUGCAUCGGGGAAAGUCAUUAAAAAGAAUUAAAAAGGAAACAGAAAGAGACAGAAGAUGGGGGAAAAAAACCCAACUAAACAGCCCCAAACAGUUAUAAACUCAAACAAAAGAACAACAGGAUCUUCCUGCUCAAAGGUCUGGGCCACUCUUACCUUGACGGCAAAGGACAGCAGCACUCCAGCGAUUUACUGGGAGAAUGGAGGAAAACCUUGGCUAGAUGGUGGAAGGUGUCUCAGGGAGAGCAGUACCAAGGCUGCUUCAACAGGCUGGUAGCAUGAAGGAUGCUGCUGGAAUAUUCCAUCAGACUGCUCUGUCAUUAUUUUUGCCGACUUACUAGCAAAUAUAAAUAGUGACAUACUGAGCUCCUGUGGAUGGACAACAACCCCAGGAGCUGAAAAAACAAGCUGUGGAACAGAGGUAACUUGUCCCUGAACACAUGAAGAGCUGAAGACAAAGAUGGGAAUGGGACUCAGAUGUCCAGCAUGCCCAGUGCACUGUUAGUGAUGGAACUCUGCAGUACAAUGAUUUGAUGAGGCCAUGAUCUUGGAAAGAUACAAAAAGAGAUGGGCUGUUUCAGGCGAAUCAUGAAGAAAUCCUGAAAUAUAAAGGUACAGUCAAGUCUGGGAUGGGAUUUGCUCUGUAGGGGAGCCAGCUGGAAGCUGCCAGUGCUUGGGAGGAAGUUGCAUGAAAAUCUUGUUACUUGUACCUUGUUAUAUAAUUACCUCUUGCAGAGUGGUUUUUUUUUUCUGAUUUACAGUCACUGUUGGAGACAGGUUAUGUGCUUAGAGAGACCACUGGCUGGAUAGCCUGGUAUUUCCUGCAUUCUUACUUCCAUGGAUCCUCUAAUAGCCCUGCUGCCUGGCUUUGUCCUGCUAUUGUGUCUCACUGUGAGGAUAGUCUAUGUCUGAGAUUGUCGGGGGAUUUCUGCAGGCAGCUUCUAGUGGUAUUUUCUGAGCCCCCUGAUAUGCUCCUCACACUACUGUAGCAUUUUCUAAAUUCCCUGGGGGCUGAGGGUCAUCUCUCACUUUACAUAGGAUAAAUUGAUAAUGACACAAUGAAAUCAGUCAUGAUGAAAUAGCUCCAAUUUUAUUACAGUGAAAGGGGAUUUUGGAUCUGUGUUUCUGUUGUAUUGUGUCUGGAGCUGUGCUUACACCACAGUGGCUUUUUGCCAGAGAUUUCCAAUUUUGAGGUCUCCUGUCCCAUCCCAUCAACUUGUAGCUAGAUUUAGCAAACUGUUUUCCGAGGUUUUCUGUGUGUUUCCAGAGAAGUUUUUCCUGUUACAUCUUGUAGCAGCCUGUCUGUUCACUGUGGCUAGAUUUUUGUGGGGCCACAACUGUUGCGUUAGAGAAUGAGGGAAGUGAUAAAUCAUCUAGUGAAGACUAGAUGAUCUGCCAUGGCUGGAAUUUGCUCCUCACCCACCUGUCAAAGCAAGAGGAGAAGUAGUUUGGGAGGCAUCACUAGUUUAUGGCUGUUUACUUGUGGCUGCUAUUUCUCUCUUUUGUUGUACUACUGCAUUGGACUAAGGACUAGUUUCAAGUAGCUUUCUUACUCCCUUGAAAAAAAUGCUAUAUGUCCCUUGAAGUCUGGGGAAAUCUGGCACAUUGUACCCUGAGAGUCCUUUCAACCUGACCCUCUGCUCUCAGCUCAUUUCUGCUGCCUGGUAUCUUGCCUGUGCUGCAGUGUGGAGUAGAACACUGAAGUAUUCAGACAGGAUAAAUAAAUGGGUGUCUGCUGAUUUACACCACUGGAAGGUUGGGCCCAGGUCAGAUAGAGAGCAGAGAACCCUCCAACAGAAUCUCUUUAAGUGAAACCACAGGCAGGUAUUUCAGCCCAGUUAGCUGGGCAUUCAGUUAUGGCUUUUGCUACAGAGUAAAACCAGUUUUUCCAAAGGACAUCGGUAGCAAUCUCUUAAAAAAGGAGUUGUGGCCCCUCCCCAGUGACCUUUCCUUGUCAAAUGCUACAUGCUGUGAUGUUCCUACACAAUAGAGAACACUCUGCUCUCUGUGUACUUGGCAAAGGAAGAAAUGGCUUUUUUAAUCUCAUUGCAUGAAUUAUUGGCAAAACGUUUGAAGUGACUCCAAGAUUCCUCUCUGACUGACUUGCAUUUUCUCAGGAGAUUUGUGUAGUUUGGGAGUUUGGAACCUGUAACUGAAUAACUUGGAGAAAGCAUUUGCUACAUUUUGAAAGGAUGCUGUGUCCUUGCAGAAAAAACACUUAAUCUGCUGCAUCAAUGUCCCUUUGCAGAGGACAAACCUUCCUGGGUGUGACGUGCUGUGUCCCCCCAGAGGAUACCUACCCCUUCUGCUGCCCCUCCUGGUCCUCAGUGCAGGUAUUGCCCAAGGCAGUGCUUCCCGUGGACACUGCCCUCAGCAUUGCCCUCAGCCAGCCAUGGGCGCAGGAGCAGAGCUCUACCCUGCCAGGCCUUGGACAAACAUAGGCGUGUGCCAGCGCUUGCCCUGAAUAAUCUAUAGAGACCGGGCAUGGAAACACAGGCAGCAGUGUGGAGUAUCAAGGAAGUGCCAGAACUGGGAUUAAGACCUGUGCUCCUGUUGCUGCAGUCUUGUCAGCCCUGAGGUACAGGGAGGGACAGCUCACAUUGGUAGCCAGCCCUUUUUUCUUUGUGUACUGCUUCCCUGGACUCACUAAUGUGGCUCUGCCAUGGGCCAGGUAUUGCUCUAGGAAUCCAGUGCAGACCACAUCCAUCCUUUUUGCUGGAGCAUCCCUCUGACUUCCUGCUGACCAUGGUGAGCAAAGGCUUGUCACAUCACAGGGAUGGCCACCUCCCCUCCUUCAGUGCUAGGCUUCUUUUUGCAAGAUCAAAGUGGAGGGAGUGUGCCAGAACCUGCCAAACUGCUGCUGGGGAGACUGACAGGGAGUGACAGAGCCUGAAACUGUCUGGCAGAUUGUUUGUUUAAUGGGGGAAAAUGUUUUCCUGACACUGUAGAGCACUUUGAAUCACAAACGAUGUCAAUAACAUACAUUCACCUGUUCCUAGCACAGAGUUCUCCCUCCUAUGCCAUCCCUUUAGCAGGAUACUCCAUUAGUACCCAGACUGCCACCAGGCAAAUGCCAUGAACGUGUGGCUGAUUUUCCAGUCAGGGCCGGCAGCAUGGGAGUGACCAUGCCACAGGAGCAGUGAUCCCUGCAGAAUCUCCAGUGCAUCAGCUCUGGGAGAAGAGGAGAGGGGAUCACAAUGGCUUCAUUCUUCACCAUGUUCCCCCCGGCCCCUUCAGCCUGCCCCAGUGGCCAGCACGAUCUCAAAGUCCUCCCUUUAACUUUGAUUCCCUGGGCCUGCAAAGUGGAAAAUGAAUUGGAUCUGAGCCAUGUGCUACCCUGCUGUCACCUGGUGUCAUUUUUAUUUUUCAGGCUGAAAUGGUCCCAGAAUAUUGGCAGCUCUGAAAUCGUAAGGAUAUCUAAUCGGAUGAUUUAUGCUGGGAGGGAUUUGAUCAGGAGCCAGGAAUCAGUAGUCAUUCUCCUCCUCCCUAGCCAGGGAAGGAGCUCCCACUUUUGGUGGGGGUUAUGGGGUGUCAUUUGUUUUUUGCACCUGUGGUAGUCCCCUCCUUGCCCCCGUGCUGACCACCGCAGAGCUGCCAGCUCAGCUCCCUGCUUCCCCAAGCCGGUAAAUAAUUACCUCCCCCUUCCCAUCUCUGGAAUGCGUACAUAAACAGCACAGCCUACCUAUGGCUACUUGGCUUGCUGUUAAGUCCUAAAUAAAGCUAAAAAAGGAUUAAUAGCCCUUUGUGAUACAACAUUAAAAAAAAAAAGAAUUAGAAGGCAGUUUGUCUUGCA